rnacentral:rRNA from 1 species
CACUGAAGAUGUUAAGAUGGACCCUAGAAAGUUCCACGGGCACAAAGGCCUGGUCCUGACUUUACCAUCAGCUUUAACCCAAUUUAUACAUGCAAGUAUCCGCACCCCUGUGAGAAUGCCCUCAAUCCCCCGUCCGGGGACGAGGAGCCGGCAUCAGGCACACCCCUCUUUAGCCCAAGACGCCUUGCUACGCCACACCCCCAAGGGAACUCAGCAGUAAUAAACAUUAAGCCAUAAGUGAAAACUUGACUUAGUUAGGGCUAAGAGGGUCGGUAAAACUCGUGCCAGCCACCGCGGUUAUACGAGAGACCCUAGUUGAUGACUACGGCGUAAAGAGUGGUUUGGGACCCUACAAUAAAUAAAGCCAAAGACCUCCCAAGCUGUCAAACGCACCCCGGAGGAAAACGAAGCCCUAUAAACGAAAGUAGCUUUAUCCUCACCUUGACCCCACGAAAGCUAAGAAACAAAGGGGGUUUAGAUCCCCCUAUAUGCUUAGCCUUAAACUCAGAUGCAAGCCAUACAAAUUCCAUCCGCCAGGGUACUACGAGCGCUAGCUUAAAACCCAAAGGACUGACGGUGUCUCAGACCCGCCUAGAGGAGCCUGUUCUAGAACCGAUAAUCCCCGU